rnacentral:rRNA from 1 species
AUUGAACGCUGGCGGCAGGCCUAACACAUGCAAGUCGAACGGUAACAGGAAGAAGCUUGCUUCUUUGCUGACGAGUGGCGGACGGGUGAGUAAUGUCUGGGAAACUGCCUGAUGGAGGGGGAUAACUACUGGAAACGGUAGCUAAUACCGCAUAACGUCGCAAGACCAAAGAGGGGGACCUUCGGGCCUCUUGCCAUCGGAUGUGCCCAGAUGGGAUUAGCUAGUAGGGUGGGUAACGGCUCACCUAGGCGACGAUCCCUAGCUGGUCUGAGAGGAUGACCAGCCACACUGGAACUGAGACACGGUCCAGACUCCAACGGGAGGCAGCAGUGGGGAAUAUUGCACAAUGGGCGCAAGCCUGAUGCAGCCAUGCCGCGUGUAGGAAGAAGGCCUUCUGGUUGUAAAGUACUUUCAGCGGGGAGGAAGGGAGUAAAGUUAAUACCUUGGCUCAUUGACGUUACCCGCAGAAGAAGCACCGGCUAACUCCGUG